AGAGUUUGAUCAUGGCUCAGAUUGAACGCUGGCGGCAGGCCUAACACAUGCAAGUCGAGCGGUAACACAGAGAGCUUGCUCUCGGGUGACGAGCGGCGGACGGGUGAGUAAUGUCUGGGAAACUGCCUGAUGGAGGGGGAUAACUACUGGAAACGGUAGCUAAUACCGCAUAACGUCGCAAGACCAAAGUGGGGGACCUUCGGGCCUCAUGCCAUCAGAUGUGCCCAGAUGGGAUUAGCUAGUAGGUGGGGUAAUGGCUCACCUAGGCGACGAUCCCUAGCUGGUCUGAGAGGAUGACCAGCCACACUGGAACUGAGACACGGUCCAGACUCCUACGGGAGGCAGCAGUGGGGAAUAUUGCACAAUGGGCGCAAGCCUGAUGCAGCCAUGCCGCGUGUAUGAAGAAGGCCUUCGGGUUGUAAAGUACUUUCAGCGAGGAGGAAGGCGUUAAGGUUAAUAACCUUGGCGAUUGACGUUACUCGCAGAAGAAGCACCGGCUAACUCCGUGCCAGCAGCCGCGGUAAUACGGAGGGUGCAAGCGUUAAUCGGAAUUACUGGGCGUAAAGCGCACGCAGGCGGUCUGUCAAGUCGGAUGUGAAAUCCCCGGGCUCAACCUGGGAACUGCAUUCGAAACUGGCAGGCUAGAGUCUUGUAGAGGGGGGUAGAAUUCCAGGUGUAGCGGUGAAAUGCGUAGAGAUCUGGAGGAAUACCGGUGGCGAAGGCGGCCCCCUGGACAAAGACUGACGCUCAGGUGCGAAAGCGUGGGGAGCAAACAGGAUUAGAUACCCUGGUAGUCCACGCCGUAAACGAUGUCGACUUGGAGGUUGUGCCCUUGAGGCGUGGCUUCCGGAGCUAACGCGUUAAGUCGACCGCCUGGGGAGUACGGCCGCAAGGUUAAAACUCAAAUGAAUUGACGGGGGCCCGCACAAGCGGUGGAGCAUGUGGUUUAAUUCGAUGCAACGCGAAGAACCUUACCUACUCUUGACAUCCAGAGAACUUAGCAGAGAUGCUUUGGUGCCUUCGGGAACUCUGAGACAGGUGCUGCAUGGCUGUCGUCAGCUCGUGUUGUGAAAUGUUGGGUUAAGUCCCGCAACGAGCGCAACCCUUAUCCUUUGUUGCCAGCGAUUAGGUCGGGAACUCAAAGGAGACUGCCAGUGAUAAACUGGAGGAAGGUGGGGAUGACGUCAAGUCAUCAUGGCCCUUACGAGUAGGGCUACACACGUGCUACAAUGGCAUAUACAAAGAGAAGCGACCUCGCGAGAGCAAGCGGACCUCAUAAAGUAUGUCGUAGUCCGGAUUGGAGUCUGCAACUCGACUCCAUGAAGUCGGAAUCGCUAGUAAUCGUAGAUCAGAAUGCUACGGUGAAUACGUUCCCGGGCCUUGUACACACCGCCCGUCACACCAUGGGAGUGGGUUGCAAAAGAAGUAGGUAGCUUAACCUUCGGGAGGGCGCUUACCACUUUGUGAUUCAUGACUGGGGUGAAGUCGUAACAAGGUAACCGUAGGGGAACCUGCGGUUG
rnacentral:rRNA from 1 species